UUUUAGUUAGUAUAAUAAGUACAGUUACCUUCCAAGUAAAAAGUCUAUAAAUAGACUCCAUU
rnacentral:tRNA from 1 species